UACGUAGGGUGCAAGCGUUGUCCGGAAUUAUUGGGCGUAAAGAGCUCGUAGGCGGUCCGUCGCGUCGAAUGUGAAAACCCGGGGCUCAACCCCGGGCCUGCAUUCGAUACGGGCGGACUAGAGUUCGGUAGGGGAGACUGGAAUUCCUGGUGUAGCGGUGAAAUGCGCAGAUAUCGGGAGGAACACCGGUGGCGAAGGCGGGUCUCUGGCCUGUUCUUGACGCUGAGGCGCGAAAGCUAGGGGAGCAAACGGG
rnacentral:rRNA from 1 species